GGGUCAGUAGGUUGGUCGUGCCACCGGUACGUACUGGUCUCACUGUUUCCUCCUUCCCGAAGAACCGUAAUGCCAUUAAUUUGGUGUUGCGGGGAAACAGGACUGUUACUUUGAAAAAAUUAGAGUGUUUAAAGCAAGCUAACGCUUGAAUACAUUAGCAUGGAAUAAUGAAAUAGGACGAUCGAUCCUAUUUUGUUGGUUUCUAGGAUUGACGUA
rnacentral:rRNA from 1 species